UUGAUUUAUUUGUUUGUUUUACUCAGAAGUUACAAUAAGAAACAUUAGAGUUUGGGUCCUCCGGCGGGCGCCUGGUUCCGGGGCUGCGACGCACCCGGGGCGUGACCCCGCCGAGGCAACAGUUUGGUAACGUUCACAUUGGGUUUGGGAGUUGUAAACUCGGUAAUGAUCCCUCCGCUGGUUCACCAACGGAGA
rnacentral:misc_RNA from 1 species